rnacentral:misc_RNA from 1 species
GGAUGAAGAACGCAGCGAAAUGCGAUACUUGGUGUGAAUUGCAGAAUCCCGUGAACCAUCGAGUCUUUGAACGCAAGUUGCGCCCGAAGCCAUUAGGCCGAGGGCACGCCUGCCUGGGUGUCACACACCGUUACCCUCGCGCCAACGUCCAUCGUUGGCCGCGGCGCGGGGCGUGCGCUGACCUCCCGCGAGCGGGGUCUCGUGGUUGGUUGAAAAUCGAGUUCGCGGUCGAGGGUGCCGUGAUGAAAUGGUGGAUGGGCGACGCCCGAGGCCAAUCACGCGCGACUCUGUCCGGCUCAGACUCCUGGACCCCUUCGGCGUCUCCGGACGCUCUUUGGCGAGACCUCAGGUCAGGCGGGGCUACCCGCUGAGUUUAAGCAUAUCAAUAAGCGGAGGA